UACGUAGGUGGCAAGCGUUGUCCGGAAUUACUGGGUGUAAAGGGCGUGUAGACGGGGAUGCAAGUCAGAUGUGAAAUUCCAGGGCUCAACCCUGGCGCUGCAUCUGAAACUGUGUCUCUUGAGUGCUGGAGAGGAAAGCGGAAUUCCUAGUGUAGCGGUGAAAUGCGUAGAUAUUAGGAGGAACACCAGUGGCGAAGGCGGCUUUCUGGACAGUAACUGACGUUGAGGCGCGAAAGCGUGGGGAGCAAACAGG
rnacentral:rRNA from 1 species